AGGAACAGGCCGCAAGCGCACUGGCGCGACACACGUGCUGUGUGUCGGUUGCCGCAGGAGCGUUCUGUCUGCCUGGGAAAUAGAACGCGUUUGUGGGGAGGAUAUCAUUGUGCGAUAGAGGCCAGCACCAUCUGUGACGUACGCGAUGAAAACAGUAUAACGCCAACGCGGAAUUGUUGAAAGAGUGACAGCGGUAGUCGCUUUCAAGGUGCUGUUGUGCUGAGUAUUUCCUUGUUGGCGACUUGAUGGGGGCUGCUGUGCAUUGUGGGAUAUUCCGAAGCAUCUCUGGCAUCCAUGCAGUAGAGGCCAGUAGCCGCCACAUCUCCAGGCCUAACGGUCAAACUCACUUCAUCUGGGGAAAUCUGGUCACACUCCCGCUUACCAGGCCUCAGUGGCCAUCCUGAGAGCCCCCGGGUCAGGAGAGCUGCUCUUCUGCCUCGACUGUAGUUUUCUUUGGUGCUGUCUUCUCUGGGCAGAUUCUCAGGCCACCCAAAGCCACAAAAGAAAAGAGCAGAAGAAGGAAACGCUGUGAAACAUGGGCGUGAUCAUACGCACACGUGUCUGUCGGUGUCACACGCAAAGACACACAUAAGUUUAAAUUCAUCAUUGAGGAAAUAUACGCCUUGGUGUUCAGAAAAGAUGCUAUAAAGACAUUUUUGAAUAAGUCCUGGUAAAGCCAUAGUUAUGCUCAGAGGGAGAGACUGGAAGCAAUUUGAAGUUAAACUUUCUCUGAUACUAUAAACUUCAUCUUUCUUGGAGGAGAACUUAAAACUCUGCGGGCAGGUCAUUUUAGGAACUUCUGUGUCUUUCCCGGAGAAGAGGCAAGGUGGAGGGUGCCUCCUUUUGAGGUGAACCUUUUGACAGGGCUCUGGUUCAGAAGAGCAGCUGUCAAAGUGGGGGCCUCAGAGCAACAUCUUUACAUCAUCUGGAAACUUGUUAGAAUCUCAGGAUCUUGGGCCUCCGUCCAGCAUUUUCAGAUGUCCAAGGAUGAGCACGCACAGUGGAGUUUCAGAAGACCUGCACAGAGGAUCUUCUGUGUGCUAGAGACUGGCCUAUGGAGUCCAGCAACUGUCUUAGCUAGGAUCAUGUUAAGAUUUUUUUUUCUUUUGAUUUUACUUUGUUUAUAUGUUUUCUGUGUUCUGAUACUUCUUAUGCCUUCAGCUCAGUGGGGAGUUAAGGGCUGGACAAGUGGGUUGGUGGGGGGUUGUCCAUGAUUGAAAAAAGAGGUGCUUUUAGUGAACAUUGUUGG
ensembl:lncRNA